GGCACAGGGUGGCUUAGUGGUUAGCACGUUCGCCUGUUCGCCUCACACCUCCAGGGUCCCGGGUUCGAUUCCCGCCUAUGCCA